rnacentral:rRNA from 1 species
UACGGAGGGUGCAAGCGUUAUCCGGAUUCACUGGGUUUAAAGGGUGCGUAGGUGGAGUGGUAAGUCAGUGGUGAAAUCUCCAAGCUUAACUUGGAAACUGCCGUUGAUACUAUCAUUCUUGAAUAUCGUGGAGGUAAGCGGAAUAUGUCAUGUAGCGGUGAAAUGCUUAGAUAUGACAUAGAACACCAAUUGCGAAGGCAGCUCGCUACACAUAUAUUGACUCUGAGGCACGAAAGCGUGGGGAUCAAACAGG